rnacentral:rRNA from 1 species
GUCCACACUGUAAACGAUGGACACUAGGUAUAGGGAGUAUCGACCCUCUCUGUGCCAAAGCUAACGCGUUAAGUGUCCCGUCUGGGGAGUACGGCCGCAAGGCUAAAACUCAAAGGAAUUGACGGGGCCCGCACAAGCAGCGGAGCGUGUGGUUUAAUUCGAUGCAAAGCGAAGAACCUUACCAAGGUUUGACAUGACGGAAGUAGCGACCAGAAAAUGGAAGCCAAACUGUUAAAAUCAGUAGCCGCCACAGGUGCUGCAUGGCUGUCGU